rnacentral:rRNA from 1 species
AGAACGAACGCUGGCGGCAUGCCUAACACAUGCAAGUCGAACGCUCUUGGUUUCGGCCAAGGGAGUGGCGCACGGGUGAGUAACGCGUGGGAACCUGCCCUGGAGUGGGGGAUAACCGAGGGAAACCUCGGCUAAUACCGCAUACGACCUGAGGGUGAAAGAUUUAUCGCUCUAGGAGGGGCCCGCGUCGGAUUAGCUAGUUGGUGAGGUAACGGCCCACCAAGGCUAUGAUCCGUAGCUGGUCUGAGAGGAUGAUCAGCCACACUGGGACUGAGACACGGCCCAGACUCCUACGGGAGGCAGCAGUGGGGAAUAUUGGACAAUGGGCGCAAGCCUGAUCCAGCAAUGCCGCGUGAGUGAUGAAGGCCUUAGGGUGUAAAGCUCUUUCACACGCGACGAUGAUGACGGUAGCGUGAGAAGAAGCCCCGGCUAACUUCGCGCCAGCAGCCGC